GUGGGGAAUUUUGGACAAUGGGGGCAACCCUGAUCCAGCCAUUCCGCGUGAGUGAAGAAGGCCUUCGGGUUGUAAAGCUCUUUCGUCAGGAACGAAACGGCGGGCUCUAACAUAGCCUGUUAAUGACGGUACCUGAAGAAGAAGCACCGGCUAACUACGUGCCAGCAGCCGCGGUAAUACGUAGGGUGCGAGCGUUAAUCGGAAUUACUGGGCGUAAAGCGUGCGCAGGCGGAUUGUUAAGCAAGACGUGAAAUCCCCGGGCUUAACCUGGGAAUGGCGUUUUGAACUGGCAGUCUAGAGUGCGUCAGAGGGGGGUGGAAUUCCACGUGUAGCAGUGAAAUGCGUAGAGAUGUGGAGGAACACCGAUGGCGAAGGCAGCCCCCUGGGAUGACACUGACGCUCAUGUACGAAAGCGUGGGUAGCAAACAGGAUUAGAUACCCUGGUAGUCC
rnacentral:rRNA from 1 species